rnacentral:rRNA from 1 species
UACGUAGGGUGCAAGCGUUAAUCGGAAUUACUGGGCGUAAAGCGUGCGCAGGCGGUUAUGUAAGACAGAUGUGAAAUCCCCGGGCUCAACCUGGGAACUGCAUUGUGACUGCAUAGCUAGAGUACGGUAGAGGGGGGAUGGAAUUCCGCGUGUAGCAGUGAAAUGCGUAGAUAUGCGGAGGAACACCGAUGGCGAAGGCAAUCCCCUGGACCUGUACUGACGCUCAUGCACGAAAGCGUG